AACGAACGCUGGCGGCAUGCCUAACACAUGCAAGUCGAACGAGACCUUCGGGUCUAGUGGCGCACGGGUGCGUAACGCGUGGGAACCUGCCCUUAGGUUCGGAAUAACUCCCCGAAAGGGGUGCUAAUACCGGAUAAUGUCUUCGGACCAAAGAUUUAUCGCCUUUGGAUGGGCCCGCGUUGGAUUAGCUAGUUGGUAGGGUAAAAGCCUACCAAGGCGACGAUCCAUAGCUGGUCUGAGAGGAUGAUCAGCCACACUGGGACUGGGACACGGCCCAGACUCCUACGAGAGGCAGCAGUGGGGGAUAUUGGACAAGGGGCGAAAGCCUGAACCAGCAAGGGCGCGUGAGUGAUGAAGGCCUUGGGGUUGUAAAGCUCUUUUAACCGGGAUGAUAAUGACAGUACCGGGAGAAUAAGCUCCGGCUAACUCCGUG
rnacentral:rRNA from 1 species